rnacentral:rRNA from 1 species
AGUGAACGCUGGCGGUAGGCCUAACACAUGCAAGUCGAACGGCAGCACAGUAAGAGCUUGCUCUUACGGGUGGCGAGUGGCGGACGGGUGAGGACUACAUCGGAAUCUACUUUUUCGUGGGGGAUAACGUAGGGAAACUUACGCUAAUACCGCAUACGACCUACGGGUGAAAGCAGGGGAUCUUCGGACCUUGCGCGAUUGAAUGAGCCGAUGUCGGAUUAGCUAGUUGGCGGGGUAAAGGCCCACCAAGGCGACGAUCCGUAGCUGGUCUGAGAGGAUGAUCAGCCACACUGGAACUGAGACACGGUCCAGACUCCUACGGGAGGCAGCAGUGGGGAAUAUUGGACAAUGGGCGCAAGCCUGAUCCAGCCAUACCGCGUGGGUGAAGAAGGCCUUCGGGUUGUAAAGCCCUUUUGUUGGGAAAGAAAAGCAGCAGGUUAAUACCCCGCUGUUCUGACGGUACCCAAAGAAUAAGCACCGGCUAACUUCGU